rnacentral:rRNA from 1 species
GAUCAUGGCUCAGGAUGAACGCUGGCGGCGUGCCUAACACAUGCAAGUCGAACGAAGCACCUUACCGGAUUCUUCGGAUGAAGGUCUGGUGACUGAGUGGCGGACGGGUGAGUAACGCGUGGGUAACCUGCCCUGUACAGGGGGAUAACAGCUGGAAACGGCUGCUAAUACCGCAUAAGCGCACGAGGAGACAUCUCCUAGUGUGAAAAACUCCGGUGGUACAGGAUGGGCCCGCGU